UGUUUAAUAAAAUCGUGACAUGUAACGAUAAACGUUUAAUAAAAUAGUGAAGGUAGACAAUUAAUGAUUAACAUCUAAUUUCUAGAUUGGGGAUAACAGGAUUAUAAAAAAUUGGGGAUUAAAUUCGUAAAUUAAAAUAAAUAGAGGAUCA
rnacentral:pre_miRNA from 1 species